GUGCUCACUUUGGCAGCACAUAUACAAAAAUUAGAAUGAAACAGAGAAGAUUAGCAUGGCCCCUGUGCAAGGGUGACAUGCAAAUUCAUGAAGUGUUCCAUAUAAAA
ensembl:snRNA U6 U6 spliceosomal RNA